CCUACGGGGGGCAGCAGUGAGGAAUAUUGGUCAAUGGUCGGGAGACUGAACCAGCCAAGCCGCGUGAGGGAGGAAGGUACAGAGUAUCGUAAACCUCUUUUGUCAGGGAACAAAGGCGGGGACGUGUCCCCGGCUGAGUGUACCUGACGAACAAGCAUCGGCUAACUCCGUGCCAGCAGCCGCGGUAAUCCGGAGGAUGCGAGCGUUAUCCGGAUUUAUUGGGUUUAAAGGGUGCGCAGGCGGUCUGUUAAGUCAGCGGUCAAAGCCCGGGGCUCAACCCCGGCCCGCCGUUGAAACUGGCAGUCUCGAGUGGGAGAGAAGUAGGCGGAAUGCGCGGUGUAGCGGUGAAAUGCAUAGAUAGCGCGCAGAACUCCGAUUGCGAAGGCAGCAUGCCGGCUCCACACUGACGCUGAGGCACGAAAGCGUGGGUAUCGAACAGGAUUAGAUACCCCUGUAGUC
rnacentral:rRNA from 1 species